UCACUACAGACGGAAUGCACUGAGCUGCACCAUCCAUGGUGCAGAAAGAAUUUCUCCUCAAUUCAUAUAGCACUCGAUUUAUUUAAGGCCCAUUUCUUCGUCAAUGGCAUAUGCUCUCGUGUUGUAUUUUAUACUGCUUUCAUUUAUUUAAUAAAAGUGACUAGACUUUGUCUGAUUAUUUUUAAAAAAUUAUAAUAGAUAGAAGAUUAGCAAGCUGCUGUAUAUCCAAAACCUUUAUGGCAUCACAAAAUCUCUCUCCGGACUUCAAUCAUCAGUUGAAACUAAAAGCUAAAUUUACAAAUGAACAAAGCAUUAUUAGUUAGGACACCCCUUUGCUUAACAAGUGGAAAUCAAUUUAUUUAUCUAGAUGCAACUAAGAUUUUCUUCAAUCGAGAUCACCACUUUCUAGAGUAGUAUACAUUGUUGCAGCCUAUUUUUGGUGGGAUAGUCGGCUGGGAGCCAAGUCACUGCGUCUG
rnacentral:lncRNA from 1 species